ACCCCUCAUUACUGUCUAAGGAAUAAAUUCAAAGUUUGUCUUACUUUCAAAUGGCCAGUAUACGUGCACAUUCAUUCCUGACCAUUCACAUGCAAACAAAUCAAAUUACACACACCUGUAGUCAUAGAUUCACUCACACCUGCACACUCUUUAUAAAGGAGAGAAGUGAUGAGCUAAGACUGACUACAUAGUUAAUGAAACUUGCCUUCCCUGGAUCGCUGCCUCCUUUCUGCUCUGACCAGCAGAGCCAUCACACAGAGGAGAGUCUGAAACUUCAGUGUCACAGCUGAUGUGCUGUGUGUUGGAGACACAGAUGCAGACAGGUACAUACUGCCAACAGGUAUACGUUCAAUCUUCAGGUAAAACAACGUGUAUUUGGUACGAGAUCCCAUCCUGAGGCUGAAUGCUGGGUGUUAAAUGGACAGCAGCUGCUGCGUCUGAUGUGUUUCCACUCCAUUAGUCUGGCUAAGGAAGUGUUUCAGCCACGGGGCGUCUGAGAGCACGAGCGAUCUCAUCUGUCAGUGUCAGUCUCUCAGCUCAACAGGCGACAAGCACUGCAGCAAUAACAUGACUGCUCUGAAUCCUGCUGAUCACAGCUGGAGGCCGUGGACCAUCGAUACCGACAAUCAAAUGAGAUUUAGUGUGAGAUGACCAGUUUAACCAGUUUAAGUGGUGUUCAUACACCUCUCUGCAUUUAAUCAGUACUUAUUAGUAAUCUCUGGCUCUUAUCCAUGAUGUUUUUGUCGUCCUUCCCUCACCCCAACCGGUCACUGUAGAUGGCUGCUUCUCCCUGAGCCUGGUUCUUCUGGAGGUUUCUUCCUGUUAAAAGGUCGUUUUUUCCUUCCCACUCUUGCCAAAGCACUUGUGCACAGCAGGUCAUACGAUUCUUGGAGUUUUCUCAGUAUUAUUGAAGGGUCUUUACUUUACAAUAUAAAGCACCUUUAGGCAACUAUUGUUGUGAUUUGGUGCCACAAAAGUAAAACUGAAGCACUUAGGCUGCAAAAAAGUGCCGGUGUGAAUGCUGAAACAGGCAAGUAUAAGUACUCUGAGUACUCAGAGAAGUAGAAGAACUUGCCAUGCUUGGUGUGAUGCUGAUUCUUCUUAGUCUGACUCAUUUCAUCCACACCACGGGGACGCCAUCCACAAACAUCUGCUGCUCGGUGGCGAGGUUACACAUUUUUCUUUUGCAGUGCUCAGAAAUGAUUAUCGAAGAUAAUUGCUUUGGGCUGACACAGACUCCUUUCAUCUGCUUCAGGAAAUAAAGAUAAAAAUGGGAACAAAUCAGCAUCUCUGCAGCUGAAUACUCUUUCCAAUAAACCACCUGCUGAGUGUACAACACCUUUAAUGCCGGUCUUUGAGUUCCUUCCUCUCAUCUAACCAACAGUUUAAAAUCACCUCAGUAUUGGUUUGAGCUUCACUUCUGCUCAGUGUCCACAGAGUUACUUCUCUACCCUUUCCAGCUCGACUCUGCAGAAUGUGGGAGCAGACCUGAAGGUGUCUUUGGAUGUUUGAGAUCAUUAGAAAAUGAUUUCUUACCUCCAGCAUUUCUACCUGUACACAGGAAAUGUGGUUGAGACUAAAGACUUUCACCUCUGCUGAUUCCUCCUUUGGCUCUAACGGUUCUAAAAAGCUUUGCAUCAUAAAAAGAUCAAAGUUGAUCUUUCAGACAUACGCGACACAAGAAAAGUUCACAGACGACCAGCUGAGAUGAAGUGAUUGGAGAGCUACCAGUUAGGUGAAGCAGGAAGCUCACAGAAAUAACAAAGGAAAGAAGAAGGUGAAGUCAAGCCUUCAGAACAACAGUUGAAAUCAACAGUGGGUUCAUUUGCUGCAGAUAUCACUGAGGCAUUAUGGGUAUUUGGCUGCCUUUUUGUCAACGUGAUGGACCAGGAGUCAAACUGGCAGAUAAAAUAAUGUGUUCACACCACACAUGUAUACUGUCCAGUAAACGUAACUGGUUUUACUGGUACUGUCUAUUUAAACGCACAGUAAGAGGCUGUUAGCUCCCUCAGCUCAGUGUGCAGCGCUGCAGUCUGGAUUCACUGCAAUGAUGUAUGUCUGCUUCUGAAUAAUUAAUGGAAGACAGAAACUGAACGAAAGCAGGAAACCGAUGAGGGGAGCUCUGAAAACUGGUCAGCUUUAAAUAAAGAUGGUGGGUGGGUGGCAGAGACUUUCUGGUACCUUCACUCUGUUCCCUGUCUCCAUCUGAAGUCACGUCUUAGUUUCCUCUUUGCUUUUGUGCUGAGAUUAAACAUGUCGGAGUGGAUUUCUUUCUUCUUCCACUGCAUGUUGAAGAAAUGCAUUAUUUUUCUGGAAACAGCUGGCGACUCACGCUGAGCGAUGUGAAGACGCUGCUAAACGGUCUCUCUGCUUAACUGGUGUUUGACAUUAAAACUGUCACCAUAAAGACUGAAACACGCUGCAGGAAAAUCACCAAAAUAGAUCAGCAGAGAAAGACGAGGGAGAAGCUUUGUGAGGAAGAGUGAGGACAUACAUCAGAGGGCUGGUACCUCGUUCACUGAUCACCACGAGGCCACAAACGUCCAAGUGCCCAGUGGAUCCUGAAUGACCUCACUGGUAUCUCUCUUGUCCGAUAAUCACACAAGCUUUUAAACUUAGAUCGUGUGUGGUGCUUCCAGUUUAACCCAGCAACGGUUCCCCGUGCCCAAUCCGCUCGUCUACUGAUGCCAACUCUGCAGGCAGCUGAUGGGUUUCAUGAGUUCCUGUCUCAUUCACAGGUCAUUGUUAGCGAUUGCUGAUACAUCGCAAAGCUAACAUCGUCAUCAGGUAAUAGCUGACAGUCAUCAAAUUGUUUCUGAGAACAAAGGUUUGCUUCUGUCCUCUAAAAGCAUUUCAACUAUAACCUGAAACCACAGUAGAUGGUGACUGCUGCCUGCAGACUGUCGAUGCCCGUGUGCCGAUAUGUAACAGAGCUCUUACAGACCUUCAAAGGUGGUUGUUUCAUCUGCCUGCGUGUUUGCUGUGAGACAUAAUUUAUUCAUAUUGGACCCGCUGUGCUGCAUCAUUUAAUCAAAUAAAGCUCUUCCAACUUUUUGCAGUGUGCACAUGUCUACAUCCUGUACCUGUCUGUACCUGUCUGUCAUGGGCUGAGUGACCAGCUGGAAAUUUCCAUCAGUGCCUGAGCAUCCUUGGCUCCGCCCGUGGGCAGGACUACCUCAGCUUUACGCAUCUGGAGCUAACUGGGGCAAUCAGGCCAGAGAUGAUUUAAGAUCUGCACUGUCAUCUCCUUCCUGCCAGUUCGUCAGCUGCCUGAUGACUUUUCUCCAGUGUCGAUUGCUGCUCACCACUUGGAUCUCGGUUCGUUUCCACUCACUGGGAAAAAUCUCCGAACCUCACCUGCCUGCCCUCCUGCUCACUCACCACUUUGGAUCCAACGAGGUCAGCUGUUUCACUUUUUCAAACUCUGAGGAAUUACAUCACCUCCCCCUCAAUACCACACCUCCACCUCCUGCAAUGUGACCAUUACUUACCUGCCCAGAUCCAGUUGUCCCCUCUCUAAUAGUUGCACGGCUAUGCUUCCAUGCCACAGUUUGCCAUGUCCCUGUGUUUUCACCUGUAUUGUACAGUCACUAAUAAAUUGUGUUAAAACGCUCCCUUGCCUCCGCUCUGGGUGUCUGCGAUGGGGUUCUGUUCAAGUUGCUGGCCUCCGUCCAGUGUGACGCCGUCUGCACCCGUCUGUAAUCUGUCAAUGACCUGGGAGAUGAUGGAGGUAUUGAAUGACCCCCCCCGUGUAGCAUCUGUCUCAGUACUAGCAGCUGUAUCAUGUUUAAUGCACUGGAGGAAAUGUUUUAACCUGUGUUCUCAGUCUCUAGGUCAGGGGUCGGCAACCUGCGGCUCUUUAGUCUUAAUACUGCGGCUCCGCGUGGUUUGG